rnacentral:rRNA from 1 species
AGGACGAACGCUGGCGGCGUGCCUAAUACAUGCAAGUCGAACGGUCUUUCUAUGGAAGCUUGCUUCCACUGAGAAGAUAGUGGCGAACGGGUGAGUAACACGUGGGUAACCUGCCCAUAAGAGGGGGGAUAACAUCCGGAAACGGGUGCUAAUACCGCAUAGUUUUCUUGAUCGCAUGAUCGGGAAAGGAAAGACGGCCUUUGUGCUGUCGCUUAUGGAUGGACCCGCGGCGUAUUAGUUAGUUGGUGAGGUAACGGCUCACCAAGACGAUGAUACGUAGCCGACCUGAGAGGGUGAUCGGCCACAUUGGGACUGAGACACGGCCCAAACUCCUACGGGAGGCAGCAGUAGGGAAUCUUCCGCAAUGGACGAAAGUCUGACGGAGCAACGCCGCGUGAGUGAAGAAAAGGUUUUCGGAUCGUAAAACUCUGUUGUCAGAGAAGAACAAGUUGGAGAGUAACUGCUCCAGCCUUGACGGUAUCUGACCAGAAAGCCACGGCUAACUACGUGCCAGCCGCUGC